CAGUCGCCACGGGAAAACGGAGGGUGCAAGCGUUAUCCGGAUUUAUUGGGUUUAAAGGGUCCGUAGGCGGAUCUGUAAGUCAGUGGUGAAAUCUCACAGCUUAACUGUGAAACUGCCAUUGAUACUGCAGGUCUUGAGUAAAUUUGAAGUGGCUGGAAUAAGUAGUGUAGCGGUGAAAUGCAUAGAUAUUACUUAGAACACCAAUUGCGAAGGCAGGUCACUAAGAUUUAACUGACGCUGAUGGACGAAAGCGUGGGGAGCGAACAGGAUUAGAUACCCCUGUAGUCCCUGUCUCUUAUAC
rnacentral:rRNA from 1 species